rnacentral:lncRNA from 1 species
GUUGCAACCAUUGAAUCCUUCUAUCUAGCGUUACCCUGACCUUGAUCCCCUUCCAUCCUUACUCCAACCCUUUUCCUGUGGAUUGCUUUCUCCAUGAUGGCUUCAGUCUUCAAACCACUCAUACCCUCUGGAACCACAGCACCAACAGCUACAAAAUUAGAACCCUCCAUCUGUAAGUUCAGAAAUUCUCUCUUUCCCAGGAUCUCUACAUACCUCCUAAAAGCUCUCUUGAUAGAAGAUCUCAUGACUGCCAAUCCAGAUGCAUGUGCCUGCCUCUGAGACAGGGAGUCCUGACCACCAGCCCUACUUCAUCCGAGUGGAAUAGUACCUGGUGGUAAAGGCCAUGGGAAAAAGGACAAGAACAAACUCAGCACUUCCACUGUUCUCUGAACUCUUAUGGCUGAAGAAAUUCUGCACAAAUAUUUGCUGUCUGUGACUGAUGCAACUUCACAGACAGAUAAGACUCUCAU